GACGUAGGAUGCAAGCGUUGUCCGGAUUUAUUGGGCGUAAAGAGUUCGUAGGCGGUUCGUUAAGUCUGAUGUUAAAGACUGGGGCUCAACCCUGGGAGUGCAUUGGAUACUGGCGGACUGGAGUGCAGUAGAGGCAAGCGGAAUUCCAGGUGUAGCGGUGAAAUGCGUAGAUAUCUGGAAGAACACCGGUGGCGCAAGCGGCUUGCUGGGCUGUAACUGACGCUGAGGAACGAAAGCUAGGGUAGCGAAUGGG
rnacentral:rRNA from 1 species